CUCCAGUUAAUUCUACAAGACAUGCUGUGGAAGACACCAGGAGAGAUGAGUCCUCCGUCACAGAUGGUGUGGUCAGUGAAGAUGGUCGCCUGCAGGUUCAAGCUCAUUGCAUCUCCAACCCACAUCCACUGCCACUGUACUGAAGGGAAGUUAAAGACUUUCUUCUGCACCUACAUGUGGAUCACCUCGAUCCAUGACAGUCAUUCAGCAGUAAUGCCUGGACUGGAAACAAGCAUCCUUAAAACAUUACAACAUUCCAGCUCCUGUGUUGGAAUGAAAAACAAAUGUGUUGUUUAAAUCAGAGACUGCACUUGUGACAGAACAACAAAUAUUUUAUUUGAUUAUGUAAGUAAUGUAAGCACAAAACAAACUUAUUUUCAGAAUAAUUACAUCUGAUUAUGAUCAUUGUAAGAUUAUAACAGUGAAGGCAAUAUAACUGUUUGUUGUUCAGCAGAACAGUGUCCAGUAUGUUGGCUGUUGUACUUUGUUGUGUUUGAAAAUAAAAGUUGGGCUGAUUUUAACAUCA